GGUCUCAUAGCUCAGUUGGGAGAGCACCUGCCUUACAAGCAGGGGGUCACAGGUUCAAGUCCUGUUGAGACCA
rfam:Fusobacterium mortiferum ATCC 9817 genomic scaffold supercont2.8, whole genome shotgun sequence.